UACGUAGGUGGCAAGCGUUGUCCGGAUUUACUGGGCGUAAAGGGCGUGCAGGCGGUUUGUUGAGUGCAGGGUGAAAGCUCCCGGCUCAACUGGGGAGAGGUCCUUGCAUACUGGCAAACUCGAGGGAGGCAGAGGAAAGUGGAAUUCCCGGUGUAGCGGUGAAAUGCGCAGAUAUCAGGAAGAACACCCGUGGCGAAAGCGGCUCUCUGGGACGGUACUGACGCUGAGACGCGAAAGCGUGGGGAGCGAACAGGG
rnacentral:rRNA from 1 species